CAGGUUCGUUAAACGGUCGCGCGGUAUUGCGCCGUAAGGUAUUACCGUGAGGAAAGUCCGGGCUUCACAGGACAAGGAUAACGGAUAACAUCCGCCGUGGGUAACCACCGGGAAAGUGCAACAGAAAUAAACCGCCGCGCUCCGCGCGGUAAGGCUGGAAAGGCAGAGGUAAGAGCCUGCCCGUUCCCAUGGUAACAUGGGUCCGCUGUAAACCCUAUCCGAAGCAACACCCCAUCGGGCAGCUUUGUCCGGCAUACGCCCCGGGGUGGCACGGGAGUAUUCCCGAAGCGCGUCGGCAACGCCGCGCGAAGAUUGAUGACCGUUCCCGACAGAACCCGGCUUACAGACGAGCCUGCACC
rnacentral:RNase_P_RNA from 1 species